rnacentral:tRNA from 1 species
GUUGUGGCUCAGUGGUAGAGUACUUGCCUUGCAUGUGUGAGACACUGGGUUCAAUCCUCAGCACGACA